GACGAAGGUGGCGAGCGUUGUUCGGUGUCACUGGGCUUAAAGCGUGUGUAGGCGGAAAAGUAAGCGUCUUGUGAAAUCCCCCGGCUUAACCGGGGAACUGCACGACGAACUGCUUUUCUUGAGGCAAGUAGGGGUGCAUGGAACUCUUGGUGGAGCGGUGGAAUGCGUAGAUAUCAAGAGGAACGCCGGAGGUGAAAACGGUGCACUGGGCUUGUCCUGACGCUGAGACACGAAAGCGUGGGGAGCGAACGGGAUUAGAUACCCCCGUA
rnacentral:rRNA from 1 species